UUUCGCGGACGUUAUAGGCCGCAGUAGAUAUUGCUGCGCGAAGCAGUUCAGCAGGUCGUACAUCAGCGGAACGCCGAUCGGUCGCAAAUCCAGCCGGUCGAUGCGAUCGAAGAAAACUUUUGGGUUAAAAAAAAGCUUUUGUGGAGUGAAGCAGUAAAGAAACAUCCUCGGAAAGAGAUGUCGUUGCGCAGUUACAUCGUAAGCAGUUCAAGUGAGUGGGAUUAUAGCCGGCCGGGCUUAGCAAGCGGACAGUGAUUUAUAAGUAACUUACUAUUAAUAACAGUGUGCUUUGUGGACCAGCCAGAUCGAGUACUGCGUUGUUACCUGGGUGGUCCCCGGUCGAAGAUUUGGAAUUGCGAUUGGAAGGUGAUGUACCCGCAUUUGGUGCAAUAGCAGUUGGUGGUACACUCUUUACGGCAAAUAAAAACAUGACCAAUCGGGUAUCGGCAUCAGCGAUCGGACAGAACUUAAUUUGGUUAUUGGUAGAUAGAACGUCCGAUUAGGUUCAGUUGAGAUCCCGGUGGCGAUUCCGCAGCUAAAUUUGUGAUGCAGGAAACCUGAACACCGCGUCCGACUAGUCAACACAUCGUGACGCGAUCGCGACGAAACAAUAAACCAACAGAAUGGAAGGAAAAGAAACCAACCCGCGCGAAAGCGAAACGGCAACAAUAAUAAACGCACGUGGGUGUUUAGCUGGUUUUCUACCGCUACCUUCCGUUCACCUUGUGCUGUACGAUGGGCUGUCUGCUAUAGCAAAUAAUAAAUACACACUCAGCUUCAGUAGGUAUCGAAACGAGGAGCAAGAUACUCGUUAUUGCCUUAUAUAAAAACAAAAAUGACAAUCCACACGUCGCGUCUAUGCAUGCCGCUACUGCAAACCGAUGCACCGUAACCGCUCUCGUCGAUAAACGGUAAAAGAAGCCAACUUUACUAGCUGAAGAACUGUGACAAGCAACGCUCUCUA